UGCCUAAGUUCUUAAUAGAAUAUGGCACAAGCAACCGUUCAGGGUAUCAAGCUCCUCGUCAGAGCACUCUGAACGGUCAUAUCCCGAAAGGUGUAUGGGUAGCGAAAGCUAUC
rnacentral:sRNA from 1 species